AACGAACGCUGGCGGCAGGCUUAACACAUGCAAGUCGAACGCGUGUAGCAAUACACGAGUGGCGCACGGGUGAGUAACGCGUGGAUAUCUGCCUUUUUGGGUUCGGAAUAACCCCGGGAACGUGGGCGUAAUACCGGAUGGUUCCUUCGGGAGUAAAGAUUUAUUCGCCAAAAGAAUGAGUCCGCGUACGAUUAGCUAGUUGGUGAGGUAAUGGCUCACCAAGGCGACGAUCGUUAGCUGGUCNGAGAGGACGAUCAGCCACACUGGGA
rnacentral:rRNA from 1 species